GACGAACGCUGGCGGCGUGCCUAAUACAUGCAAGUAGAGCGCUGAAGAGAGGAGCUUGCUCUUCUUGGAUGAGUUGCGAACGGGUGAGUAACGCGUAGGUAACCUGCCUUGUAGCGGGGGAUAACUAUUGGAAACGAUAGCUAAUACCGCAUAACAAUGGAUGACACAUGUCAUUUAUUUGAAAGGGGCAAUUGCUCCACUACAAGAUGGACCUGCGUUGUAUUAGCUAGUAGGUGAGGUAAUGGCUCACCUGGGCGACGAUACAUAGCCGACCUGAGAGGGUGAUCGGCCACACUGGGACUGAGACACGGCCCAGACUCCUACGGGAGGCAGCAGUAGGGAAUCUUCGGCAAUGGGGGCAACCCUGACCGAGCAACGCCGCGUGAGUGAAGAAGGUUUUCGGAUCGUAAAGCUCUGUUGUAAGUCAAGAACGGGUGUGAGAGUGGAAAGUUCACACUGUGACGGUAGCUUACCAGAAAGGGACGGCUAACUACGUG
rnacentral:rRNA from 1 species